rnacentral:misc_RNA from 1 species
GCUGGUUUCCUGUUUGGUGGCAGUGUCGUUACCUCUUUCAACCACACGAACAACAUUGAUUAUAUUUGUCGAGCUCAUCAGUUGGUCAUGGAAGGAUAUAAAUGGAUGUUUAAUAAUCAGAUAGUUACUGUCUGGUCAGCUCCUAAUUAUUGUUACAGAUGUGGUAAUGUAGCUGCUAUACUUCAACUGGAUGAGAACCUUAAUAAACAGUUUUGUGUCUUUGAUGCUGCUCCACAGGAAUCAAG